AGCUUUCUGUAUCCGUGCUGAGGUUUUGUCGCACAUUAGACCACAAAGGCUGAUCAGAAUCCCAAGAUAAGUGAAGCA
rnacentral:pre_miRNA from 1 species